rnacentral:rRNA from 1 species
CCCUUAGAUGUUCUGAGCCGCACGCGUGCUACACUGAGUGGAUCAGCGGGUCAGGUUGCGCGAAAGCGUUUCCUAAUCUUUAAAUCCGCUCGUGAUGGGGAUUGACGGUUGCAAUUUUCUGUCAUGAACGAGGAAUACCUUGUAAGCGCGGGUCAUCAUCCCGCGCUGAGUACGUCCCUGCCCUUUGUACACACCGCCCGUCGCUCCUACCGAUUGAGUGAUCCGGUGAGGCUUUGGGAUCUGAGCGGAAAGAGCGUUUCGCUGUUUCUGCUCGGAAAACUCAGUCGAACCUUAUCAUUUAGAGGAAGGAGAAGUCGUAACA